rnacentral:rRNA from 1 species
UACGAAAGGUGCAAGCGUUACUCGGAAUCACUGGGCGUAAAGCGCACGUAGGCGGACUCGCAGGUCAAUUGUGAAAUACCUGGGCUCAACCCGGGAACUGCAGUUGAAACCGCUUGUCUUGAAUACCUGAGAGGGUGGGGGAAUACCUGGUGGAGAAGUGAAAUUCGUAGAUAUCAGGUGGAACACCGGAGGCGAAGGCGCCUGCCUGGCAGUGUAUUGACGCUGAGGUGCGAAAGUGCGGGGAGCAAACAGG